AUUUUUGACUGAUUUGAAUGAGCAAAUUAACAGAUUUUCUUUUCUGCCAUUGUAUAGACACAGCUCAAUUCAAGGGACAGAUGCUCAAAGCUAACUGCAUAUCUAUUCUGACCCAGUCUUACACACUUUGCAUUUUUCACUUCUGCUUUCCGGGGUCCAGAUGAUUGAAUAUCUGUCUUCUCUCAUUGAGCACCCACUCAGGAAACAGCUCCAUGAGUGUGGUGCCUCAGCAACAAGAUGGAAAUAAUGACAACUCCUACUGAUUUUCUGCCAGGGCAAAUAGCUGAAGUUUCUGCUCCUGUGGAGACUCAUGAGAUGCCUAUUAGUCAGUCUGGAGCCUACAGGUGCCUGAGUUGCUGCAGGAGGAGAAACGGAAUGUCUUUCGGCUUUGCUUUUGUGUGGAUCUGUUGCAUGUUUACCAAGAAACAAUUCUUAUUUGAAUUUUCCAAAAAUGUGAGGUUUCCACUACCAUUUGGAAGAUACGGAGCCAUUGUUUUGAUUGUCACGCAUGGACUUCCACUGAAGUGUUUUUCCUCAAAGGAUGAACUAAUGGAAGAGAAGACAUAUACUGAUUCUACUUUGCAGAAAAUCAGCGGCUUCCAGCUUCUGAUGUCAGAAGAUUUGAGAACCUGAUCGACAGAUGCUCUCUAUUACUCCCCUCUAAUGUGAAUAAUUAGGAACUGACUGAACAAAUGAUUGUAUACCUGGAAGAUUUGAUGGUGGUUUCAGAUUUAAAGAUUUCAUUUCCAUCGAUAUGUCCUUGAUAUCAUUGUUACCAAAUGAAACUUUAGCUGUGUGAGUUCUAUGAAAUAAAAAAUAUAUUCAUUUUUGUAGUUUUUGUACC
rnacentral:lncRNA from 1 species